GAUGAACGCUGGCGGCGUGCCUAAUACAUGCAAGUCGAGCGAACAGAUGAGGAGCUUGCUCCUCUGACGUUAGCGGCGGACGGGGGAGUAACACGUGGAUAACCUACCUAUAAGACUGUGAUAACUUCGGGAAACCGGAGCUAAUACCGGAUAAUAUAUUGAACCGCAUGGUUCAAUAGUGAAAGACGGUUUUGCUGUCACUUAUAGAUGGAUCCGCGCCGCAUUAGCUAGUUGGUAAGGUAACGGCUUACCAAGACAACGAUGCGUAGCCGACCUGAGAGGGUGAUCGGCCACACUAGAACUGAGACACGCUCCAGACGCCUACGGGAGGCAGCAGUAGGGAAGCUUGCGCAAUGGGCGAAAGCCUGACGGAGCAACGCCGCGUGAGUGAUGAAGGUCUUCGGAUCGUAAAACUCUGUUAGUAGGGAAGAACAAAUGUGUAAGUAACUAUGCACGUGUUGACGGUACCUAAUCAGAAAGCCACGGCUAACUACGUG
rnacentral:rRNA from 1 species